rnacentral:lncRNA from 12 species
CCCCCCCCCCCCCCCCCCCCCCCCCCCCCCCCCCCCCCCCCCCCCCCCCCCCCCCCCCCCCCCCCCCCCCCCCCCAAAUUCCCCCAGAUCCCCCCAAAAUUCCAAACAAAAUUCCCAGAAAUUUCCCAAAAUUCCCCAAAAAUUCCCAAGAAAAUCCCCGAAAUUUCCAAAAAAUCGCCAAAAAUUGUCCAAAAUUCCCCCCAAAAAAUCCCUCCAAAACUUCCCAAACUUCCCAAAAAUUCCCCAAAAUUCCCCAAAUUCCUGGAAUUCCCUCACCUGUCCAUGGCCCUGUCUCUCAUCCGGUCCCUCCUGCGCUGCUUCUCCCGUUUCUUCUUCACCUCCUCGUCCUCAUCCUCCGAUGCUGAGGGGAAAAAUUUGGGCAUUUUUAUCCCCAAAAAAAAUCUUUGCCAACAUUCCCAAAACUCCAACCCUUGGGGUUCCCUGAUUUUCCCAAAUUUUUCCCAUUUUUCCCCAUUUUUUUCCCCAAUUUUUUUGCCAUUUUCUUUCCUGAUUUUUCCCCAUUUUUCCCCCAAUUUUUUCUGAUUUUCCCAAUUUCUUCCCUGUUUUUUCCCCAUUUUUCCCCCAAUUUUUCCCUGAUUUUCCCAAUUUUUUUUCCCCAAUUUUCUCCCCAUUUUUUUUCCCUGAUUUUUCCCCAUUUUUCCCCAUUUUCUUUCCUGAUUUUUCCCCAUUUUUCCCCAUCUUUUUUCCAGUUUUUACUUUUUCUCCCAGAUAUUCCAUAUUUUCCCUCCAUUUUUCCACAAUUUUUUUUCCUUUUUUUUCCCCAUUUUCCCCUUUUUUUCCCCCUUUUCUCCCUGGUUUUCCCUCAUUUUUCCAUUUUUUCCCCAAUUUUUCCAUUUUCUCCCCAAUUUUCCCAUUUUUCUCCACAUUUUUCCAUUUUCUCCCCAAUUUUUCCCAUUUUCCCCCAAUUUUUCCAUGUUUUUCCCAUGGUUUCCCACCAUUUUUCCCAUUUUAUUUCUCUACUUUUUCCCCUUUUUUCCCAAUUCUUCCCUUUUUUUCCCCAAUUUUCCCCCCAAUUUUUCCCUUUAUUCCAGGGCAUUUUGGGGAAUUCCCACCCCAAAUUCCCAAACACCCACCAACAAAACCUGGAAAAAACUUUGGAUUUUGGGGAUUUUUUUCCCCUUU